GCAUAUCCACCAGCCUUCUGGACACCAACGACAAUGAAGCAGGCACUGAUCUGAUGUUGCUGGACAGCUCUGUGGCCCACAGCCUGGAGGAGCUCAGCCUGGCCUGGCAGGUGGAUGGUGACUGCAGGGCCACCAAGAAGACUCAAAAGCCCUGCCCAGGACAGAGCUCCACCAGCUGGGCCUUCCUCCAGGACCCCUGCUCCAGCUUGGGGAAUUGCUUCUGGGUGCUCCUUGACAAGGGCAAGAUUCUUGGCUGGGACAGAAUAACUAGCAUGGAAUGCUGGGAAACUCAGAACCACAUGUGCUUCAAAUGCAGGGAAAAAGAGUUGUUUGCCAUUGUGCUCAAAAUACUUCUGAAGACAUGA
rnacentral:lncRNA from 13 species